rnacentral:rRNA from 1 species
ACUCCUACGGGAGGCAGCAGUCGAGAAUCAUUCGCAAUGCGCGAAAGCGUGACGAUGCGACGCCGCGUGGAGGAUGAAGGCCUUCGGGUUGUAAACUCCUGUCAUGAGGGAAAAUGACCGGCUGGUGAAUAGCCAGUUGGUGUGAUGGUACCUCAGGAGGAAGCCACGGCUAACUCUGUGCCAGCAGCCGCGGUAAUACAGAGGUGGCAAGCGUUGUUCGGAUUUACUGGGCGUAAAGGGUGCGUAGGCGGUUCUGUGUGUCGGGCGUGAAAUCUCACCGUUCAACGGUGAAACUGCACUCGAAACUGCAGAACUGGAGUACAGGAGGGGUGAGCGGAAUUCUCGGUGUAGCGGUGAAAUGCGUAGAUAUCGAGAAGAACGCCGGGUGGCGAAGGCGGCUCACUGGACUGAUACUGACGCUGAGGCACGAAAGCUGGGGAGGCGAGA